GCCCCGUUAGGCUAAUGGAUAAACCGGCAGGUUCCGGUCCUGUCUUUAGAGGUUCGAAUCCUCUACGGGGUA
rnacentral:tRNA from 1 species